rnacentral:rRNA from 1 species
AUGGCCGACGCCCGGCCGAACUCCGGCGGGCUAGCCGUCGACCCGCCCGGAAUGGCCAAGAAGAAGAAGGGAAAGGCGCCAAGGAAGCCACGGUCAGAGUGCACGCCAGAGGAGAUCGCCAAGUUGGACGCGGAAUCGGCGAAGAGGAGGGGCCGGAGGGCGGUCGCCAAGUACAACGUCGCCGCGGCCAAGAGAGCCGCCGACCGCGCUGCGAUUGAGGCUGCGCGGCACAAGGCCGAGGUCGACGAGAAGGAGGCCGUCGACCCCGACGAGACCCAAAGUCAGGAUGGCCCCGCCCAGUACGUCCCCGAUGAAGAGGCCGACGACCGUGCUGACUACGACCAUGGCGACUCGUGGCAUGAAGACGAUGACAUCUAUGUCGAAGGUGAUGGUGAUGAAGAAGAAAGCAAUGACCUUGAUAUUAGUGGCGAGCCAUUGUUCAUUGACGAGCUGACCCAAAGAGCGCAAGCACAAAAGAAGAGGAAGAGCAUUCACACGGGUUCAUACACACAAGAUGAGGACAAGUUGAUUUGCCAAGCUUGGAUGGAGAUUAGCCAAGAUCCGAGGACUGGCGCGCAACAAAAAGGCAUUGUUUUUUGGACAAGAGUCCAAAAAACAUUCCAUGAAAGGAAGAUGUUUGAUCCCUACCAAUUUACAAGCAACCGUGGCAUUGGCCCGAUUCAAAAGAGAUGGUUGUUCAUCCAACAAGAGUGCAACAAGUAUCAAGCCGCAUUUGAGAGCGUUGAAGCAUGGCCCGUGAGUGGUCUCGGCGUUGGGGACAUGGCAUUUCAAUCUUUGGAGGCAUUCAAGGCCCGACACAAUGACAAGCCGUUCACUCUUACGCAUUGUUGGACGAUCAUCAACAAUUGCCCUAAGUUCAAGGACCAAUACCGUGAACUUCAAAGGAAGAGAGGCCUGAAGACGGCCAAGUUCGCCGGAGGUGGAGAUUGUGAGGCGUUGAAGAGGCCGAGGGGCAAGACCAACUCCAAGGUGGACGACAUACGUGAUGCCUCAUCCAUGGCCUUGCAUGAGACGUUGCAUGGCAUGAUGUCUGAAAAGGAUCUCGACAUCAAGGCCGACAACGUCAAGGCCAGGCAAAGGCAGCUCAACAUCGAGGCCACCAAUGCCGCCACCAAAGCGAAGGAGGUGGCCCUUGUGAUCAUGAGCAUGGACUUGUUGAAGAUGAGCGAGAAGACGAGGGCCUGGUUCGAGGCCAGGCAGAAGGAGAUGCUCGACACCGACGGCCUGAACUAG